UUGAAGUGUUCGACGUCUUUUUUCAUGUUCGCAUCACUCCUGUAUGCAAUAGAAAGCUUUGUCACGGGACCCGCCUUCUUCACCUGCAGUAGGCGUUGCUGCCUCCAAAAAAA
rnacentral:ribozyme from 1 species